rnacentral:rRNA from 1 species
GAGUUUGAUCAUGGCUCAGGAUUAACGCUGGCGGCAUGCCUAAUACAUGCAAGUCGAACGGAGUAGCAAUACUUAGUGGCGAACGGGUGAGUAACACGUAUCUAAUCUACCAUUUAGUGGGGAAUAACUGUUGGAAACGACAGCUAAUACCGCAUAAUAUUGCUGGAUAAUUUCCAGUAAUGAAAGGAGCUUUCAAGCUCCGCUGAUUGAUGAGGAUGCGGCGCAUUAGCUAGUUGGUAGGGUAAUGGCCUACCAAGGCAAUGAUGCGUAGCCGAUCUGAGAGGAUGAACGGCCACAUUGGGACUGAGACACGGCCCAAACUUCUACGGAAGGCAGCAGUAGGGAAUUUUUCACAAUGGGCGAAAGCCUGAUGGAGCAAUGCCGCGUGACUGAUGAAGGUCUUCGGAUUGUAAAGGUCUGUUGUAAGGGAAGAAAUGGUAAAACAGGAAAUGGUUUUAUCUAUGACGGUACCUUACCAGAAAGCCACGGCUAACUAUGUGCCAGCAGCCGCGGUAAUACAUAGGUGGCAAGCGUUAUCCGGAUUUAUUGGGCGUAAAGGGUGCGUAGACGGUUUUGCAAGUCUGAGGUUAAAUUUAGGAGCUCAACUCCUAAUCGCCUUGGAAACUACAAGACUAGAGUAUAGGAGAGGUUAGUGGAAUUCCAUGUGUAGCGGUGGAAUGUGUAGAUAUAUGGAGGAC